rnacentral:rRNA from 1 species
CAGCAGCCGCGGGAAUACGUAGGUCCCGAGCGUUGUCCGGAUUUAUUGGGCGUAAAGCGAGCGCAGGCGGUUAGAUAAGUCUGAAGUUAAAGGCUGUGGCUUAACCAUAGUACGCUUUGGAAACUGUUUAACUUGAGUGCAAGAGGGGAGAGUGGAAUUCCAUGUGUAGCGGUGAAAUGCGUAGAUAUAUGGAGGAACACCGGUGGCGAAAGCGGCUCUCUGGCUUGUAACUGACGCUGAGGCUCGAAAGCGUGGGGAGCAGACAGGAUUAGAUACCCCCGUAGUCCCUGUCUCUUUACAC